UACGGAGGGUGCAAGCGUUAUCCGGAUUCACUGGGUUUAAAGGGUGCGUAGGUGGGUCUGUAAGUCAGUGGUGAAAUCUCCGAGCUUAACUCGGAAACUGCCAUUGAUACUAUAGAUCUUGAAUUAUCUGGAGGUUAGCGGAAUAUGUCAUGUAGCGGUGAAAUGCUUAGAUAUGACAUAGAACACCGAUUGCGAAGGCAGCUUGCUACACGAUCAUUGACACUGAGGCACGAAAGCGUGGGGAUCAAACAGG
rnacentral:rRNA from 1 species